rnacentral:tRNA from 1 species
CAGAGAAUAGUUUAGUGUAAAAUACCAGCUUUGGGAGUUGGAGUCGGGGGUUUGAGGCCCCUUUCUCUGA